rnacentral:rRNA from 1 species
UACGUAGGGUGCAAGCGUUUGUCCGGAAUUAUUGGGCGUAAAGAGCUCGUAGGCGGUUUGUUGCGUCGGCUGUGAAAUCCCGAGGCUCAACCUCGGGUCUGCAGUCGAUACGAGCAAACUAGAGUGUUGCAGGGGAGACUGGAAUUCCUGGUGUAGCGGUGAAAUGCGCAGAUAUCAGGAGGAACACCGGUGGCGAAGGCGGGUCUCUGGGCCGAAACUGACGCUGGAGGAGCGAAAGCGUGGGGAGCAAACAGG